GACGAACGCUGGCGGCGUGCUUAACACAUGCAAGUCGAACGCUGAAGCUUGGUGCUUGCUCUGGGUGGAUGAGUGGCGAACGGGUGAGUAAUACGUGAGUAACCUGCCCUUGACUCUGGGAUAAGCCUGGGAAACUGGGUCUAAUACUGGAUACGACAUGUCACCGCAUGGUGGCGUGUGGAAAGGGUUUUACUGGUUUUGGAUGGGCUAACGGCCUAUCAGCUUGUUGGUGGGUUAUGGCUCACCAAGGCGACGACGGGUAGCCGGCCUGGGAGGGUGACCGGCCACACUGGGACUGGGACACGGCCCAGACUCCUACGGGAGGCAGCGGUGGGGAAUAUUGCGAAAUGGGCGAAAGCCUGAUGCAGCGACGCCGCGUGGGGGAUGACGGCCUUCGGGUUGUAAACCUCUUUCAGCACGGAAGAAGCGAAAGGGACGGUACGUGCAGAAGAAGCGCCGGCAAACUACGU
rnacentral:rRNA from 1 species